rnacentral:rRNA from 1 species
UGUUACAAUGGGUGAUACAGAGGGCCGGCCGCUGGCAACAUCGGUCCAAUCCUUAAAGUCAUCCUCAGUUCGGACUGGGGUCUGCAACCCGACCCCACGAAGCUGGAUUCGCUAGUAAUCGCGCAUCAGCCAUGGCGCGGUGAAUACGUUCCCGGGCCUUGUACACACCGCCCGUCAAGCCAUGAAAGCCGGGGGCGCCUGAAGUCCGUGACCGCGAGGGUCGGCCUAGGGUGAAACCGGUGAUUGGGGCUAAGUCGUAACAAGGUACC